rnacentral:rRNA from 1 species
UGGGGAAUAUUGGACAAUGGGCGCAAGCCUGAUCCAGCCAUGCCGCGUGAGUGAUGAAGGCCCUAGGGUUGUAAAGCUCUUUUGGCGGGGAAGAUAAUGACGGUACCCGCAGAAUAAGCCCCGGCUAACUUCGUGCCAGCAGCCGCGGUAAUACGAAGGGGGCUAGCGUUGUUCGGAAUCACUGGGCGUAAAGCGCACGUAGGCGGACUUUCAAGUCAGGGGUGAAAUCCCGGGGCUCAACCUCGGAACUGCCUUUGAUACUGGAGAUCUCGAGUUCGGGAGAGGUGAGUGGAACUGCGAGUGUAGAGGUGAAAUUCGUAGAUAUUCGCAAGAACACCAGUGGCGAAGGCGGCUCACUGGCCCGAUACUGACGCUGAGGUGCGAAAGCGUGGGGAGCAAACA